rfam:Stachybotrys chlorohalonata IBT 40285 unplaced genomic scaffold scaffold60, whole genome shotgun sequence.
AACAACCGCCCGCAGGAGAAUCAUUUCUAUAGUAUUCGACCUUCUCGUGGUUCAUUAAAUGAGCCGCAGAUCCCACCCUGGUUGAUGAGUGUAUAUCCUCGGCUCCCUAGAGUGAGUGUUUUUGGUCCUCUCGAACUGUCCGAAAGGAUGGCGGUGGUCUUCGUCUUCGGGCGGGGCUACUGUAUAGAGAGUGGUGUUUGAUGAUCUCGACCCUGUUCACGGUCUGCCUUCGGGCGCGAGAGCAGGGUGGGUGCCGAUGGACGUCUGACAGGU